AUCGCUUCUCGGCCUUUUGGCUCAGAUCAAGUGUAUAUCUGUUCUUAUCGUUUAAUAUCUCAUCGUCCCCCAUCGGGGGACUACAUAAUAAAUGAUUUUUCGAACAGGGAGUCGGAAAUGGCUUGUCUCCGCUCCACUGCUCGACCUAUUGCAUACCUCCGGGAAUGGUGCAACACUUU
rnacentral:snRNA from 1 species